rnacentral:ncRNA from 1 species
UUGAUGUUUGAUUCUGGUUUCAAAUCUUUAUUGUAUUGUUAAAAUCGUAUGAAAGUUAUUUAUUAUAAGAUAAUAAAGGCUAAUUUUAUAUUAGUUAAAUAUAUGAGUAUAAUUAUAAUUAUAAUUAUCUUUUGUUCUCAGCGUAGGGCUUUAGUUUAUACAUGAGAGUGUGAGUUAGUGAGUAAUAAAAUUAAAUCUGAUAAAAUAUUUGUGCCAGCAUUCGCGGUUAAACUUUAAGGUUAAGUAAAGAAGUGUAUAUUUAAGUUACUUGAAAAAGUAUUAAGGUAUGUUUAUAAAUAUUAGUAGGUGAAAUUAUUAGUUAUUUUAUAAAAUUAAGUGUAUUUUAAGGAAGCUGAUAAGCUUUAAAGAUAAACUAGGAUUAGAUACCCUAUUAUAUUAAAGUUAAUAAAAAAUAUUGAAUUAUUAAUAGAUAUAACUUCAAACUUUAAGAAUUUGGCGGUAAUUUAGUCUUGUUAGAGGAACCUGUUUGAGUAUAAUCGAUACACCUCGUAAUAUCUUACUUGUUUUUAGUUUGUAUACCAUCAUUAUUAGAUAAUUUUUAAAGGAUAAAUUAUUGAAAUUAAAUUAUUAAAUAAAUUAGAUCAAGGCGCAGCUUAUAAAUAAGUUUUAAUGGGUUACAAUAAAUUUUAUUUAAAUGGAAAAGAGUUAGUAAGUUAAUCUAGGAAAGAGGAUUUAAUAGUAAUAUAAGUUUAAUAAGCUUAUAUGAUUGGAGCUCUAAAUUAUGUACAUAUCGCCCGUUGCUUUCAUAAAUAUAUGAGAUAAGUCGUAACAUAGUAGAUGUACUGGAAAGUGUAUCUAGAAUUA